GCUUCAACAGGUGAUGGAGUUCACCGAGAACCGCCGGUCCACGAUGCACAUGGACGGCUGAUAACUCCUACUGGCAC
rnacentral:ncRNA from 2 species